rnacentral:rRNA from 1 species
UGGGGAAUAUUGCACAAUGGGCGCAAGCCUGAUGCAGCCAUGCCGCGUGUGUGAAGAAGGCCUUCGGGUUGUAAAGCACUUUCAGCGAGGAGGAAGGUGGUGAGCUUAAUACGCUCAUCAAUUGACGUUACUCGCAGAAGAAGCACCGGCUAACUCCGUGCCAGCAGCCGCGGUAAUACGGAGGGUGCAAGCGUUAAUCGGAAUUACUGGGCGUAAAGCGCACGCAGGCGGUUUGUUAAGUCAGAUGUGAAAUCCCCGGGCUCAACCUGGGAACUGCAUUUGAAACUGGCAAGCUAGAGUCUCGUAGAGGGGGGUAGAAUUCCAGGUGUAGCGGUGAAAUGCGUAGAGAUCUGGAGGAAUACCGGUGGCGAAGGCGGCCCCCUGGACGAAGACUGACGCUCAGGUGCGAAAAGCGUGGGGAGCAAAACAGGAUUAGAUACCCUGGUAGUCCACGCUGUAAAACGAUGUCGAUUUUGGAGGUUGUGCCCUUGAGGCGUGGCUUCCGGAGCUAACGCGUUAAAUCGACCGCCUGGGGAGUACGGUCGC